rnacentral:lncRNA from 1 species
UUAACCCUGCAAGGAGUUUCGGACCAGCUGUGAUCUUCAACAACGACAAAGCCUGGGACGACCAAGUAAGUAAACCUUAACUUUUGGACAAAUUAAGGUUUAUUUUUUACAUGAAAAAAUAUAUAUAUUUGUUAACACCAAUAACAUAUGAUUGUGAUUGUUCUUUUUAGUGGAUUUACUGGGUUGGACCGUUUGUUGGAGCUGCGGUGGCUGCAAUCUACCAUCAAUACAUUCUUAGAGGUUCUGCAAUCAAAGCUCUUGGAUCCUUCAGGAGCAACGCUUAAUUAAAAAAAAAAAAAAAUCAAGUUUCUCCACUACCUAAAUUAUGAUG